CAGUAGCCGCGGGAAUACGGAGGGUGCAAGCGUUAAUCGGAAUUACUGGGCGUAAAGCGCACGCAGGCGGUCUGUCAAGUCGGAUGUGAAAUCCCCGGGCUCAACCUGGGAACUGCAUCCGAAACUGGCAGGCUAGAGUCUUGUAGAGGGGGGUAGAAUUCCAGGUGUAGCGGUGAAAUGCGUAGAGAUCUGGAGGAAUACCGGUGGCGAAGGCGGCCCCCUGGACAAAGACUGACGCUCAGGUGCGAAAGCGUGGGGAGCAAACAGGAUUAGAUACCCCUGUAGUCCCUGUCUCUUAUAA
rnacentral:rRNA from 1 species